AGUAGAGCGGGCUCAUUCUCACAGCAUCCUUUUCACAGGUCCAGUUUGCUCUGCAUGAAGUGGUGAAGUUUGAGCCCCGGGUGGAGCCCCAAGUCUGACGCAGACAGCUGCCCAGAAUAAAUAAGCAGCUCCACUCUGCAUCCUCAAGGACCCAACACAAUGUUUCCUCUACAGCAACCCUUGUGAUCCCAGCAGGAAUCUGUUCAGUCUUAACUGGCACAUGCAGUACUGGGAUCUUACAUUCAGAAGUAGAUCAUUUCUGUAUAAACAGGUGCGGAGGAUGACCGUGGCUCUGGUUGCUGUUGGACAGGGGAGGCUUUCACCCUCAGAGGUGAAGGAUCUACUGGAGGCCAGGAAUUAUCUAGUCUAUCCACAGAAUUUGAUGGCACCCCCAAAUGGUUUGUUCCUUCAGAAAGUGGAAUAAGAGGAAACAGUACCACAUGUGCAAUCCGCCACGCAGUUGGGACUGACUUGUGCUGGAAAUGACACUGAUGGAAUCGCGUGAUGAGUGUGUGUGAGGGAGGUAGCACCUGUUUUGAGAACUGGGAAAAAGUGGGCAUCAAAGGACACAAUGGAUCUGGUUUGAGUUUAAAAUAUUGGUAAAGCGGAAACUUUGUAUUUUUUGAAACUUCAGUCCAGUCCCUGUGGCUUGGUGAAAGACCUGCUGGUGCACGGAUAUGUGGAGUGGCAGGGAGGGGUACAAUUCUUCCCUGUAAAAACAUGUGGGAAUGUUGCCACAGGUCUACAAAAAGGGCUAGAAUUGUGAUAGUGAAGGUAUUGUGUGGAGCUGGACUGUGUGUGUUUGUUUGUUUAUUUGUUUGUUUGUGUGUAUCUAAAUAAAUGCGUGUGAGUGCGU